GGCAGUGUGAUAUAGUGGUUUGAGAGUUGGAUUAUGACUCUAGAAACUAGGUUCAAAUCCGUGCUUGGCCA